AUCCAGAUGACGAGUCCGAAAUAGGACGAAAAACGCGCCUCCUGGUU
rnacentral:hammerhead_ribozyme from 1 species